UACGUAGGGGGCAAGCGUUAUCCGGAUUUACUGGGUGUAAAGGGAGCGUAGACGGUGAUGCAAGUCAGAUGUGAAAGCCCGGGGCUUAACCGCGGGACUGCAUUUGAAACUGCAAUGCUGGAGUGCAGGAGAGGUAAGCGGAAUUCCUGGUGUAGCGGUGAAAUGCGUAGAUAUCAGGAGGAACACCAGUGGCGAAGGCGGCUUACUGGACUGUAACUGACGUUGAGGCUCGAAAGCGUGGGGAGCAAACA
rnacentral:rRNA from 1 species